rnacentral:rRNA from 1 species
AGAGUUUGAUCCUGGCUCAGAACGAACGCUGGCGGCACGCUUAACACAUGCAAGUCGAACGGGCUAUUUAUAGCUAGUGGCGCACGGGUGAGGAAUACAUAGGAAUCUGCCUUAUAGUCCUGGAACAACCAAGAGAAAUUUUGGCUAAUACCGGAUAUUCCCUGAGGGGGAAAGAUUUAUUGCUAUAAGAGGAGCCUAUGUCUGAUUAGCUAGUUGGUAGGGUAAAGGCCUACCAAGGCUUCGAUCAGUAGCUGGUCUGAGAGGAUGAUCAGCCACACUGGGACUGAGACACGGCCCAGACUCCUACGGGAGGCAGCAGUGGGGAAUAUUGGACAAUGGGCGAAAGCCUGAUCCAGCGAUGCCGCGUGAGUGAAGAAGGCCUUCGGGUUGUAAAGCUCUUUUAUCAGGAAUAAUAUAGAUAGUACCUGAAGAAUAAGGACCGGCAAACUUCGUGCCAGCAGCCGCGGUAAUACGAAGGGUCCAAGCGUUGUUCGGAAUGACUGGGCGUAAAGGGCGCGUAGGCGGAUUAUUAAGUUGGAUUUGAAAUCCCUGGGCUUAACCUAGGAACUGGAUUCAAAACUGGUAAUCUAGAGUCUGUGAGAGGGAAAUGGAAUUCCGAGUGUAGCGGUGAAAUGCGUAGA